UCGCCGCGUGGAACUCGGAGUUCUUGCCGUUAAUGCCGGCAAACUCGUAGUGUUCGUCGCCCUGGUGGCCGA
rnacentral:tRNA from 1 species